UAUUAAAAAUUUCAUUUAUUUGUACUGUUAAAAACUAGCAUGUUGAUAAAAUAACCAAACAGUGAUAUGUGGCGUGCCACAUAUAUCUCAUCCUGACAUAUAGAGUUCUUAACAAUAGAAAUCGAUGAAAUUUUUAACA
rfam:Gossypium hirsutum cultivar TM-1 unplaced genomic scaffold scaffold326.1, whole genome shotgun sequence